GCUUGUCUCAAAGAUUAAGCCAUGCAUGUCUAAGUAUAAACUGCUUAUACUGUGAAACUGCGAAUGGCUCAUUAAAUCAGUCAUAAUUUAUUUGAUGGUACCUACUACUCGGAUAACCGUAGUAAUUCUAGAGCUAAUACAUGCAUUAAACCCCGACUUCUGGAAGGGGUGUAUUUAUUAGAUGGAAACCAAUGCGGGGCAACCCGGAAUAUGGUGAUUCAUAAUAACUUUCGGAUCGAUUUAUCGAUGCAUCAUUCAAGUUUCUGCCCUAUCAGCUUUGGAUGGUAGGGUAUUGGCCUACCAUGGCUUUAACG
rnacentral:rRNA from 1 species